rnacentral:rRNA from 1 species
GCUUCCAUACCUGUUUACUAUAUGUCCAAUAUCCUCUUUCCAAAAAAAUUCCUUGCGAAGCUCACGGCAAUCAUUCGUAAUUUUUGGUGGGUUGGUGUUAGAGAGGAAGCUAGUGCAAGAGCUUUAUGUCUCAGGGCUUGGAAAGAUAUUUGUACUCCUAAAAAAGAAGGUGGAUUGGGAAUCAAAAACAUGUUGGCUAUGAAUCAAGGUCUUCUUCUUGCGGCUGCCUGGAGACUUGCUGAAAAUCCAGAAAGCCAAGUCUACCAAGUUCUCCGUGCUAAGUAUUUUCCUGAUUCUUCCAUUUGGAGAGCUACUCCAAAUACUACGAAAUCUGCUUUCUAG